rnacentral:rRNA from 1 species
AUUGGACGCUGGCGGCAGGCCUAACACAUGCAAGUCGGACGGUAGCACAGAGGAGCUUGCUCCUCGGGUGACGAGUGGCGGACGGGUGAGUAAUGUCUGGGGAUCUGCCCGAUAGAGGGGGAUAACCACUGGAAACGGUGGCUAAUACCGCAUAACGUCGCAAGACCAAAGAGGGGGACCUUCGGGCCUCUCACUAUCGGAUGAACCCAGAUGGGAUUAGAUAGUAGGCGGGGUAAUGGCCCACCUAGGCGACGAUCCCUAGCUGGUCUGAGAGGAUGACCAGACACACUGGAACUGAGACACGGUCCAGACUCCUACGGGAGUCAGCAGUGGGGAAUAUUGCACAAUGGGCGCAAGCCUGAUGCAGCCAUGCCGCGUGUAUGAAGAAGGCCUUCGGGUUGUAAAGUACUUUCAGCGGGGAGGACGGCGAUAAGGUUAAUAACCUAGUCGAUUGACGUUACCCGCAGAAGAAGCACCGGCUAACUCCGUGCCAGCCGCCGCAGUAA